rnacentral:rRNA from 1 species
UACGUAGGGGGCAAGCGUUAUCCGGAUUUACUGGGUGUAAAGGGAGCGUAGACGGAGCAGCAAGUCCGAUGUGAAAACCCGGGGCUCAACCCCGGGACUGCAUUGGAAACUGUUGAUCUGGAGUGCCGGAGAGGUAAGCGGAAUUCCUAGUGUAGCGGUGAAAUGCGUAGAUAUUAGGAGGAACACCAGUGGCGAAGGCGGCUUACUGGACGGUAACUGACGUUGAGGCUCGAAAGCGUGGGGAGCAAACAGGAUUAGAUACCCUGGUAGUC